CAGAAUGAUCUUCAUCUGAUCUCUGCACUUGCUUUAUUGCCCAACAAUUCUGUGUAUUGCGGAAAGUGCAUCUAUAGUAGCUUCUGCAAGUAUACAACAAACAGGUAUUAGAUUUAUUGAUGAAGGAGAAGUCAUCUCACCUGGGAAAUGUUGCACCAAGUAUGUCCUUUUGGCCAUAUUUUCUCCAGCUAUAACCAUCCUCAUGGGGUCCGUCGAAUCCCGUCUCGGAGUUCACUUUCACUUGUUCUGUCCAUCUGGGCUGUGUCUUUCUGUAAUCACAGAAUCAUAAAGGUGUUUUUAUUUGUUUCCAAAAAUUAAACUCGUUUACUAAGUAACCUCAUAUUUGUUCUAAGGUUGACUUUGAAAAGCUGGAAAGAAAAUUCUUAAAUUCACCUCUUCUUUGAUUCUUUUCUGGGGUCCUGAGGGUCCUUGAGGCCUUUACCAGAGUCAUCACUAGAAAGACUUCCAUUAACAGAAAUUGGAGAACCUGGCAAAGCAAAAGCUGCUUCUACCAUUUGAGAUGCUGAACUCAACUCUGCUUUCAACUGCUUGGUAAGUCAAGAAGCAGAAGCUAGAGGAAAUGGAAGACCCAAAUGGUAAAGAAUCAGAGACAACAAACAUGGAAGUAGCCAGAUGAGGUAAUUUGGUUAACUGGGUAUAUUUGUGUUUAUUUAAAACUGAACUGAGAGGAGAAGAAGAAGAAGAAGAAUGCUUUGGUUUUAAGAAGAACGGAUCUUGGUUUUAUACAAGUUCAAAAAGGAAGACAACUUUAUUUCAGUUUUCUUAAAAGAAAAUGUUGUUGAACAGUUAGAAGUUGGGGAAACUUUGACUGAGACAGCCCCCUCAGUUGCUUUCUGGUCUUUGGUCAUUGGCUGAGUGGAGACUAAGAUUAGUGUGGAAGUCCAAGUUCUAAAGCUGACCAAGUCCACUUCCACUUCAUAAUUUAACUUCCAAAAGGGUUUCUGUUUCUCUCUCUAGAUCCUACGGCUGUGAUUUGUUGAGAAUGAAAAUUUCAUAAUUGAGAUAGUGAGACAAGUGGAAAGUCAGAGUUCAAGCUUGGAGAGUAGACUAAGAAUUUUCAAACCUUUCGUCCGCGUUGUGGUAUAGUAAACAACUGCUUUUCAUCUUUAUUAUUAUUAUUAUUAUUAUUCUCAUUUUUUUU